UGUUCGAGCGCUCAUUAUAACCCCUCAAGCUCAGCUUGGUGUUGGGGCCUGCCAACUGGCAGCCCUUAAAAUCAGUGGCGGCGCAUCUGGCUCUAAGCGUAGUAAUUUCUCUCGCUAUAGGGUCCCGGUGGAUGCUGGCCAACAACCCCCAAUUUUCUAUGGUUGACCUCGGAUCAGGUAGGGAUACCCGCUGAACUUAA
rnacentral:misc_RNA from 1 species